rnacentral:rRNA from 1 species
AAGUCGCGUGAGGGAUGAAGGUUCUAUGGAUCGUAAACCUCUUUUAUAAGGAAAUAAAGUGCGGGACGUGUCCCGUUUUGUAUGUACCUUAUGAAUAAGGAUCGGCUAACUCCGUGCCAGCAGCCGCGGUAAUACGGAGGAUCCGAGCGUUAUCCGGAUUUAUUGGGUUUAAAGGGUGCGUAGGCGGCCUUUUAAGUCAGCGGUGAAAGUCUGUGGCUCAACCAUAGAAUUGCCGUUGAAACUGGGAGGCUUGAGUAUGUUUGAGGCAGGCGGAAUGCGUGGUGUAGCGGUGAAAUGCUUAGAUAUCACGCAGAACCCCGAUUGCGAAGGCAGCCUGCCAAGCCAUGACUGACGCUGAUGCACGAAAGCGUGGGGAUCAAACAGGAUUAGAUACCCUGGUAGUCCACGCAGUAAACGAUGAUCACUAGCUGUUUGCGAUACACAGUAA